UGGGGAAUUUUGGACAAUGGGCGAAAGCCUGAUCCAGCAAUGCCGCGUGUGUGAAGAAGGCCUUCGGGUUGUAAAGCACUUUUGUCCGGAAAGAAAUCCUUGGCUCUAAUACAGUCGGGGGAUGACGGUACCGGAAGAAUAAGCACCGGCUAACUACGUGCCAGCAGCCGCGGUAAUACGUAGGGUGCAAGCGUUAAUCGGAAUUACUGGGCGUAAAGCGUGCGCAGGCGGUUUGCUAAGACCGAUGUGAAAUCCCCGGGCUCAACCUGGGAACUGCAUUGGUGACUGGCAGGCUAGAGUAUGGCAGAGGGGGGUAGAAUUCCACGUGUAGCAGUGAAAUGCGUAGAGAUGUGGAGGAAUACCGAUGGCGAAGGCAGCCCCCUGGGCCAAUACUGACGCUCAUGCACGAAAGCGUGGGGAGCAAACAGGAUUAGAUACCCUGGUAGUCCACGCCCUAAACGAUGUCAACUAGUUGUUGGGGAUUCAUUUCCUUAGUAACGUAGCUAACGCGUGAAGUUGACCGCCUGGGGAGUACGUCGCAAGAUUAAACUCAAAUGAAUUGACGGGGUCAUAGCUG
rnacentral:rRNA from 1 species